rnacentral:misc_RNA from 1 species
AACGGUCUAUACCUGCGGUACCUGCGGAGGGAUCAUUAUCGAGUGUGACCCCCCUGUAAAAAAGGGGGUACCUCCCGUCCUUUUGCUAGGCCCUCCCCCUCCAAAAUUUUUUUUGACAGGGGGAAGCUUUUUCAAACCUUCUGCUUCGGUGGGUUUUAAACCCCACCGGAACAACCUCAAAAAUUCUUUAUAAUUGUUCUGUCCGAGAAAAAUUUUAUAAAAUGUAAAAACUUUCAGCAA